GCCCGCUUAACUCAAUGGGAGAGUGCUUCCCUUACAAGGAAGAUGUUACAGGUUCAAGUCCUGCAGCGGGUA
rnacentral:tRNA from 1 species